rnacentral:tRNA from 1 species
AGGGAUACAGCUCAGUGGUAGAGCACAUGUCUUGCAUGUGUGAAGCCCUGGGUUCAAUCCCCAGAACCUUA